rnacentral:rRNA from 1 species
UCCAGACUCCUACGGGAGGCAGCAGUGGGGAAUAUUGGGCAAUGGGCGCAAGCCUGACCCAGCAACGCCGCGUGAAGGAAGAAGGCUUUCGGGUUGUAAACUUCUUUUAUGAGGGACGAAAGAAAUGACGGUACCUCAUGAAUAAGCCACGGCUAACUCCGUGCCAGCAGCCGCGGUAAUACGGGGGAUGCAAGCGUUGUCCGGAAUCAUUGGGCGUAAAGAGUUCGUAGGUGGCACGUUAAGUCUGGUGUUAAAUGCAGAGGCUCAACCUCUGUUCGGCACUGGAUACUGGCGAGCUUGAAUGCGGUAGAGGUAAAGGGAACUCCUGGUGUAGCGGUGAAAUGCGUAGAUAUCAGGAGGAACAUCGGUGGCGUAAGCGCUUUACUGGGCCGUAAUUGACACUGAGGAACGAAAGCCAGGGUAGCAAAUGGGAUUAGAUACCCGAGUA